rnacentral:rRNA from 1 species
UGGGGAAUAUUGGACAAUGGGGGCAACCCUGAUCCAGCAAUGCCGCGUGUGUGAAGAAGGUCUUCGGAUUGUAAAGCACUUUCGACGGGGACGAUGAUGACGGUACCCGUAGAAGAAGCCCCGGCUAACUUCGCGCCAGCAGCCGCGGUAAUACGAAGGGGGCUAGCGUUGCUCGGAAUGACUGGGCGUAAAGGGCGUGUAGGCGGUUUACACAGUCAGAUGUGAAAUCCCCGGGCUUAACCUGGGAGCUGCAUUUGAUACGUGUAGACUAGAGUGUGAGAGAGGGUUGUGGAAUUCCCAGUGUAGAGGUGAAAUUCGUAGAUAUUGGGAAGAACACCGGUGGCGAAGGCGGCAACCUGGCUCAUGACUGACGCUGAGGCGCGAAAGCGUGGGGAGCAAACAGGAUUAGAUACCCUGGUAGUCCACGCCUGUAAACGAUGUGUGCUAGAUGUUGGGUAACUUUGUUAUUCAGUGUCGCAGUUAACGCGUUAAG